rnacentral:tRNA from 1 species
ACCCGGCUGGCUCAGUCGGUAGAGCAUGUGACUCUUGAUCUUAGGGUCAUGAGUUCGAGCCCCACGUUGGGUG